rnacentral:rRNA from 1 species
UAAGACCUCAAAUCAGGUGGGACUACCCGCUNAAGUUAAGCAUAUCAAUAAGCGGAGGA